UUCCUUUGAGUUUCAGCCUUGCGACCAUACUCCCCAGGCGGAGCACUUAACACUUUCGCUUCGGUCGGAAACCUAUGGAGGAGCCUCCAACCUAGUGCUCAUCGUUUACAGCUAGGACUACCGGGGUAUCUAAUCCCGUUCGCUACCCUAGCUUUCGUGCCUCAGCGUCAGAAAAGACCCAGUGAGCCGCUUUCGCCACAGGUGUUCCUAAUGAUAUCAACGCAUUUCACCGCUCCACCAUUAGUUCCGCUCACCUCUAUCUUCCUCUAGCUUGGCAGUUUUGAGCGCAGUUCCUCGGUUGAGCCGAGGGAUUUCACACCCAACUUGCCUAUCUUGCCUACGCACCCUUUAAGCCCAGUGAUUCCGAAUAACGUUUGGACGGUUCGUCUUACCGCGGCUGCUGGCACGAACUUAGCCCGUCCUUCCUCUGAAGAUAGGUCAACUAUGGGGGAGAACCCCCAUAGAUUUCCUCCCAACUGACAGCGGUUUACAACCCGAAGGCCUUCAUCCCGCACGCGGCGUCGCUCCGUCAGGCUUUCGCCCAUUGCGGA
rnacentral:rRNA from 1 species